UCUGCUUUGUUCUUCACUGUCAUACUGCCCGUGUAUCUUGAGUGGUUGUGUUUUCGCUAUCGAGCAAAAUGUCUCAGGUGUAUGAAAACAUCUUUCGUGACGCUCUGAAAGAUUUCAGAGGAUGGCUUGAUUUCAGGCUAUUGUAAUUCGUUGGAGGAGGUAAAACAAAGCAUUUCUUCAAGCAAAUGCAGGAACAUGUCCCUAUCCCCUUUUUUGGUUGUGCAUUUGCAGUGGAGAGUGUGUGGUCAAGGCACUGUGUUUUGGGGCCGAAAUACUAUAAAAGUAAAGAGUCUAGUGUACCUGAGCACUUGGAAGACCAUGUGACUCCUCGUAAGAGAUUGAGGAUCAUGGAUACUGGAAAAUCCAACUGCCCAACAACUUUAAAUAUGAAGUGUAUAAGGGUGUAUCCUGAUUACAGUAUGCACUCAGCAACUGAACACAGGGAUACCAAGGCAAAAGUUCUUGCAAGUCUACAGAAAGAUUUGGCAUUGCCAUGCCCGCCGAAGGGCUACCUACGUUAUUAUUUGACUGCUUCUCCAGCAAGUGCGCACACACACAUGCUACUGAAAGUGUUGAAGCAAGUGGGUACAUACAUCCUUCACUUGUAAAGGAAAUCAAAAACUUAGUAACUCAGUGGAAUGACAUCUCUCAAAGUCAUUAAGUUGGCUCUAGAUAGAUUUGUUGAAAUCAAUUUCAUUGGGACACACAUACCAGGUCAAAUGAAUACUACCUUUUACCCCACAGAGAAAACUAUUUACAGUCACAUUUAUCGGACCCUUUAUAGUACGAAUAAAGUAUUGUUUGACGAGACUAGACUGCAGAAUCAGGUUGAUGAGUGGCACAAAGACUCGAGCAAUCACAUGAUUUAUUAUAGGCAUUGUAUGGAAGCCAAUGGAGAAGUGAAACCAUUACUUUUUUGCUAUCAGAGCAGUUGGCAGAGAGAUCUUUUGAAGAAGUAUGGGGGUAGUUGUUUGUUAGAUGCAACAUACAAAACAUCAUAUGAUAUUCCUUUAUUUUUUAUAGCUGUGAAGAGUAAUGUGGGCUAUUUGGUUGUCGGUUUUUUUCAUUCAGAUUGAAAAUGCAAGAUCCAUUCAUGAAGCACUAGACAUUUUCAAGGACUGGAACAAGGAUUGGAAUCCCCUCUAUUGGGUUACCGAUUUCUCGGAGUCGGAGAUAAAUGCAAUUGAGCAAGCAUUCCCUCAGACAAAAGUUUACUUGUGCCUUUUCCAUCCAAAACAGGCAUGGGGAAGAUGGUUGAAAAAAAGGAUAAUCUACGUGUACCAAAUGACAUGAAGAGAUUUCUGGACAUGUGGCAAGAAAUUUCAGAAUCAUCAACAGAGAGAGAAUUUAGAGAUCACGUAGAAGAGUUGCGAACGCACGAGGUUUCUCGGAGAAACGAGCGUGCGUGGCCAUACUUUCAACAGCAGUGGCUAACGGUAUGUGAAAGAUGGGUGAAAGCGUAUGAGGACAAGGGCAGAUUUGCAACCAUUGACACUACAAAUGGAGUUGAAGCCAUGAACAAGGUUGUAAAACAUUUUUUCCUUAAACACAAUUCAGACAGGACUUUAACUGGGGUUACUAAGGUUAUAAUAAACCAGUUUCUUCCAAGCCUAAUUAGAAAGUACUGUCUGCAGAAUUCUGCCAUCAAAGCUUAUAACAAAGAUGUUCCACUGUUUUUGCAUAAAAAACAAACAAGUUUGUGAAACAUGUCAUGCAGCGAUAUGAAUCAGCGAAAGUUGAGUUAACUGCAAAAUCAGUGAGUGGGAGAUUGGA